AAUAAGCAGCUUUAUGGUUGGUUGCAAAUUCUGGCACAGGUGAGGAGUUGCAACAUGUGAUCGCAUAGAGUUUUAUCGCGAUGACAUCUGGAACUGACACUGCCACAUAUAAUUAUGAUGCGUAAAGAGUAAUUUAUGACGAAAUUUACUUUGAAAACCGCAGUUUUACAAUAAGAACACGUUGGACGAAUCGAUGACUGAUAACAGAGAUGAGAAGAGAUAAGAAAUUUUGUAAACAUAACCUCUCAAACUAAAAGAAGAAAGACGGAAACGGAAAUCGUCAGUUUCAUCAUAACGCCACAUUUUUUUGACAGCUCAGUUUUCAUUGGUUUUCAUCGUUUGAUCCGUUUGAUCUCCUGAGUCCUGAACAAUCUUGAAAAGUGAGCUGAUUGGCUGAUGAGUCUUAUGACGUUAUAAACCUCCAACUUACAGACAGACGGCUACAUAAGAAAAUUUGCGUAUUAUUUAUUUUCCAACGAAUUUGUUUUUUUAGGCCUCCAAUGUUUUGGCAAAUUCCCGCCAUCCUUCCUCAGCACGUUUUUCUUCCUAGAUUCAAAUUCUAAAUGAUUCGAAGUAGAAAAUUCUAAAUCUUGGCUCGGCUUCAUUGAAUGUGUAAAAUUUAGUGACUUCCAUUCACUCAGGAGGCUUUAGGUCAUCCAAGUCACAUGUACAAAUGUCGAAAUUAAAAAGGAGUCGCUCUCAGAAGGCUACCAACACAGGCUCCCCUACGAACACGAUUGACAGAUAUUUUUCACCUUCUCCGAGAAAUAUCGCAGUGAAUAGUUUGAAUUCACCUCUAGAGGAUCUCACCCUCAGCAGUCCAAAAAAAAAACGUUCCAAACUAGCCGGAUCAGUUGAUGCCUCUCCUCGACUACCACCAUUCCAUUUUUCAUGCCCAAAUGUGAAUAAAAACCAGUCAUCACCUACCAAAAGAAAGCCAUCAACGCCCACAAAUUACUCCAAGAAGUUAUCCCCAAAGAAAUCGGUCAGAGCUCUUUUUCCAACUCCAAAAAGAAAAAGAUUCGAUGUGGAUGACAGUAGCUCCUCGGCAAGCAAUUUGAAAAUCGACUUAAACGCCAACGUAGCGAACGUUUCACCAAUGAAAGUUGAUCCCCGCACUAGUCCCAGGAAAAAAGCAGGUACUCUCAAUGCAGAAAAAUUUUUUAUGAAGAGUGAUGAUGUUCAUCAUGAUGAGCACUCGUCCGAGUCUGAUGAAGAGCCCGAAUUUAAAGGAGGAAAUGCAUCACCAACUAUUAAAUUAAUGGCCACAAAUUCCUGCAAUUAUGCUGUUUCUGAAGCAGUCUCACCAACUCCUACGCAAGAAGGUUUAAACUUCUUUAGAGAUGUGGCAUCUUUCAUUCGUGAGAAGUACCACAAUCUGGAGCGACGUUUAAAUUUCAGCUUCCCUAUCUGUGAGAACAAAGAGCUCACUGAAAGAGAACGUGAGAGUGCUGCAGUUGCUGAGUCGCUCAUGGCUGUCAUCCAGGUCGACAGUUUUUCUGAUGCAGGGAUCGACCUGACAGAAAACUUUUUAUCUGAAAGAAAAUACCUGAGUUGGCAGCUAUUGCGCCACAUCGUGUAUUUUACAAUGAAUUAUUGCAAUGAUGAAGACUGGAUAAAGUGUUUAAAGAUAUGCUUCAAUCAAUUAGCGCUUCACCCUCCUGUUUCAUGUGACAUGCGCCAAUAUUAUUCAUUAUUACUCGAUCAUGAAGAAGAAAUGAAUUUUUCUCAAAAAUCUCAAAAAGGGUUUCUGACCUAUCUAAUGGAAGAACUGUCGGAGAGGUACAAGUACACCUCUCCAGCAAACUGUAAACGAACAAGAAAGAAAAACCCUAAAUACUCAGAUUAUUCAGAAAUAGAUGAGGAGUUUGAAGAUGAGCAGAAAGGAAAAGGAAAGAAAGGAGCAAUAACACCACAGAAAGGGAAGAAGAAUGAGAAAAAAAUAGUUUCAUGGCUUUCAACUGAUGAUGAAAUUGAUAAUAGUGAAAUCAAUGAGACACUUCAGAAUGCCAUUGAUGAUGUUGGGAGAAAGCAACAGAAGAUUCUUGGCCGUGAAAUCCUAGAAGAAAGGCAGUUGCAAUUGUUUGAUUUUGUGAUAAGAAUUUUACAAGUUGAUCUUCUGGAAUGGAGCAAAAAAUGGGGUCUCAAUCGCCGAGAAAAACUUGUUUCUACACAUGAAUCUCCUCUAGUUGCAACGUUGAUGUGGGAUAGAAAGUUAGGAUUCAGUGCAAUUUCACUGCGCAUCAAAGAAGUCUUCCAUUUUUAUGUUAAUUCCGAACCGCAGCAUCGAAAAAUUUUGAAGUAAGUGAAAAAAUACCCUCUUUCUUUUAAACAUUUCAAUUUAUCAUGCCCUUGUUUGUAAUGAUGUCAAUGUUAGUUUUUAGGGGUGGCUUGUUGGAAAAAACGAACAAAAAUUCAGUCUGUACUGAUAAAUGAAAGUUACAUCCGAUGUCAACUGUUUGAUGGUUUGGAACAACAUAUUACCCAGCACUUAGGUCUGUUGUUGUGUUUGGUCUAAAAUUUGAUGAAAUUUUUGAUGAUAAUGGAUCAGUUACUUGGUUUUUUUUAUUAUUAUUAUUUUUUAUUAUUAUUGUAUUGUGUCCUUAGAAAUCGUAUAAAGUGAGGUAAGCUUAUUGUUUUGACCUCUCCUUUUUUUGGUAAAAGUGAUCAUAAGAAAAAUGCAAAAAUUGAGGGUAGCCAUAAACAGGGUCUGAAAUGUGUGCUCGUUGCUGUUGAGUUCACACAUCACAAUCAAUAUGGCAACAGAAUCCGUAGUGUAAGAAUAUCUUUCCAAGUCUCAGUGUGUUGGUGAUCAGCAUGAUAUUGUAAGUUAAGCGGUGCGAUUUCAACAAGUUCAGCUUUCAGCUAAUGUACUUACCAGAUAUCUUCAUUGCCGCGUUCGCCAACAUCCUUUCUCCCAGAAUGUUCUAACGAUAUCACAACACUACACAACUGACAUAACUUCGAACGAAAUGUCAAUAAUGAUUUAAACGACAGCAUGGUUACAGUUAAUUGAUGAGCAUCACUGCCAUCAUUUUCCAUCCACAACUAGUAAACUUAAAUUCAGAUGUUGGUAACAAACAGGAUGGUUUGACUAUGUUUUUGAAGACACCGCAGAAGGAAGUAAUAAUUCUCUGCCGGAACGAUUUUUUGUGCAAUUUUAACAGACCAAUCAUUUUUUUUUCAUACAGAGAGCUGUGAAAAACAAGUAUUUUCCUCGGAUCAAUUCUUCUGAAGCUUAGUUGACCCAUUAUUUUGAUCUUGCCAAACUGAAAACUACUUUUUGUAUUGCCUAUAGCAAUAAUCUAAUCACUACUGAAAAUUCUUGAGUACGAACUAUUAAUUUUUUGGAACCUCUACAAUCGGGCGCCAUCCAAUGCCCUCCCCCGAUUCCCUCCUGAGACCGAUUCCCUCCCCCGAUUCCCUCCCAAGACCGAUUCCCUCAUGCGGCCGGAACCGAUUUCCGA
rnacentral:lncRNA from 1 species